rnacentral:rRNA from 1 species
CAAAUGACUCUCGGCAAUGGAUAUCUCGGCUCUUGCAUCGAUGAAGAACGUAGUGAAAUGCGAUACUUGGUGUGAAUUGCAGAAUCUCGUGAACCAUUGAGUCUUUGAACGCAAGUUGUGCCCGAGGCCUUAUGGUCGAGGGCACGCCUGCUUGGGCGUCAUGG